CAUGUCUAAGUAUAAGCAACCAUACUGUGAAACUGCGAAUGGCUCAUUAAAUCAGUUAUCGUUUAUUUGAUAGUACCUUUACCUGGAUAACCGUGGUAAUUCUAGAGCUAAUACAUGCUAAAAACCCCGACUUCGGAAGGGGUGUAUUUAUUAGAUAAAAAACCAAUGCCCUCUGGGCUCCUUGGUGAUUCAUAAUAACUUAACGAAUCGCAUGGCCUUGCGCCGGCGAUGGUUCAUUCAAAUUUCUGCCCUAUCAACUUUCGAUUGUAAGAUAGAGGCUUACAAUGGUCUUAACGGGUAACGGGGAAUUAGGGUUCUAUUCCGGAGAAGGAGCCUGAGAAACGGCUACUACAUCCAAGGAAGGCAGCAGGCGCGCAAAUUACCCAAUGCUAAUUCAGCGAGGUAGUGACAAUAAAUACUGAUACGGGGCUCUUUCGGGUCUCGUAAUUGGAAUGAGUACAAUCUAAAUCCCUUAACGAGGAACAAUUGGAGGGCAAGUCUGGUGCCAGCAGCCGCGGUAAUUCCAGCUCCAAUAGCGUAUAUUAAAGUUGUUGCCGUUAAAAAGCUCGUAGUUGAACCUUGGACCUGGCUGAUCUGUCCUCCUAAUCGAGCGCACGGAUUCGGUCGGGUCUUUCCUUCUGGGGAGCCCUAUGCCCUUCACUGGGUGUAGCGGGGAACCAGGACUUUUACCUUGAAAAAAUUAGAGUGUUCAAAGCAGGCCUUUGCUCGAAUACAUUAGCAUGGAAUAAUAGAAUAGGACGUCGGUUCUAUUUUGUUGGUUUCUAGGACCGCUGUAAUGAUUAAUAGGGAUAGUCGGGGGCGUCAGUAUUCAAUUGUCAGAGGUGAAAUUCUUGGAUUUAUUGAAGACUAACUACUGCGAAAGCAUUCGCCAAGGAUGUUUUCAUUAAUCAGUGAACGAAAGUUAGGGGAUCGAAGACGAUCAGAUACCGUCGUAGUCUUAACCAUAAACUAUGCCGACUAAGGAUCGGACGGUGGUUUUUUUAUGCCCCGUUCGGCACUUUACGAGAAAUCAAAGUUUUUGGGCUCGGGGGGAGUA
rnacentral:rRNA from 1 species